UACGUAGGUGGCAAGCGUUGUCCGGAAUUAUUGGGCGUAAAGCGCGCGCAGGCGGUUAUUUAAGUCUGAUGUUAAAACCCGGGGCUCAACCUCGGUUCGCAUUGGAAACUGCGUAACUUGAGUGCAGAAGAGGAAAGUGGUAUUCCACGUGUAGCGGCGAAAUGCGUAGAUAUGUGGAGGAACACCAGUGGCGAAGGCGACUUUCUGGUCUGUAACUGACGCUGAGGCGCGAAAGCGUCGGGAGCAAACAGG
rnacentral:rRNA from 1 species